GUAUAAAUAAAAAAAAUAAAAUGAUAAAUUUAUAAAUUCACAAUUAAUGAUACUUUUAUGAAUAAUUCAAAAGAUAAAUUGAAUUAUCGCGCCGGUGAUCGUUAUAUUUCAAAUGCUUUGGGAAUAAAUUAUUGGAAACUUCCGGGUGCUGUAAAUUAAUUACAAAAAUAUAAGUGACAAGAAUGUUUAUAAAAAAGUUUAAAAAAAGGAGCGGGAGCUACAGAGUGAAAAAAUACGACAGAUGCGAUUUCAAUCGGAUUGAAAAAUCUCUUGGGAACCAGAAGUAAUUCAAUCGAUCUUCGAUACUCGUAAGCUUUUCUAGGGUGGAAAGACCUCGUCCGAUGCACGGAGAACAAGUUACACUAUCAAGUGGAAAAAAGACCGAUAAAGAAGGAGAUAAAGUACUAAGUUUCUUCCUCCAUACUGUAUGCGUUAUUGGUGAAAAUUAAUGGCCAUUAAAUGGCAUGACAGCAUCAAGAGGUAUGGAACCUGAAUUAUGUCAUCAUCCUUUCUUUAUACCAACCGAGUAAGAGAUUUCAGAUGACCCGGUAGACAAACACAUACUCAAAAAAAAAAGAGUUUCGUCCUCAUAAUGAAAGAUGGGAUAAGAUACUUUUUUUAUAGUGACGAAAAUUAUAAGCUUACAGUAACAAAUGGCAUUAUUGUAAUUAUGAAUGAGAUUGAAGUCAUUAAGUCUUAGUAGGAGAGCUAUUAGCAUCAAAAAUGGUCCAAAACAGGCCAAAAACGCCAAUUUUGGCCACAGAAUCUUAGAAAAAAAUAUCAAAUUAUAAAA